UCUAACAUGUGCGCGAGUCAUUGGGAAUGCAAACCUAAAGGCGAAAUGAAAGUAAAGAUCGACUUUAGUCGAUCGAGGGAGGAUGGCACGCGUCACGAGGCGAGCCCGCACUCCCGGGGCGUCUUUAACUCAUUGCGAGUUGAGGCGCACCUAGAGCGUACACGUUGGGACCCGAAAGAUGGUGAACUAUGCCUGGUCAGGACGAAGUCAGGGGAAACCCUGAUGGAGGUCCGUAGCGAUUCUGACGUGCAAAUCGAUCGUCGGAACUGGGUAUAGGGGCGAAAGACUAAUCGAACCAUCUAGUAGCUGGUUCCCUCCGAAGUUUCCCUCAGGAUAGCUGGCACUCGUUUAACGAGUCUCAUCUGGUAAAGCGAAUGAUUAGAGGCCUUGGGGCCGAAACGACCUCAACCUAUUCUCAAACUUUAAAUGGGUGAGAUCUCUGGCUUGCUUAAAUUAUGAAGCCGUGAGAUUUUUGUUGGAUCAGAGUGCCAAGUGGGCCAAUUU
rnacentral:rRNA from 1 species